UGAUCGAAAUAAUAAUCAGUAAAACCUGCUCAAUGAAUUUUUAAAAGCCGCAGAAAUCUGUGCUAAGGUAGCAUAAUCAUUUGCCUUUUAAUUGAGGGCUAGAAUGAAUGGUUUAACAUAUAAGAUAUUUUAUUAGAUAAAAUUUUUUACUUUUACUUGUCAGUAAAAAGGCUUACAUAAUUAGAAGGACGACAAGACCCUAUCAAACUUUACAUCAUUGUUUCGCUGGGGUAGCGAAAAAAUCACAUCUUUUUAUAAAUUUGAAAAACAACUAAAUUAUAAAUCUUAACAAGUUACUGUAGGGAUAACAGCAUUAUCUUUUUUGAAAGCUCUUAUUUCAAAAAAAGUUUGUGACCUCGAUGUUGAAUUAAAAAUUCUUUUAUGGGGCAAAAUCUUAAAAAGAAAGUCUGUUCGACUUUUAAAAUUUU
rnacentral:rRNA from 1 species